rnacentral:tRNA from 1 species
UCCGACGUAAACCGUAAUUGGUAUCGGGGCGGACUGUUAAUCCGUUCAGGUGGAAGCCUGGUGCUGGUUCGAGUCCAGCCGUCGGAGCCA